AUGUGUUUAUUUCUUUUCUGGUUUAUGAUUUGUGAUGAAAGCGGUAAAUGUAGAAAAGUAAAGAUAACAAGGAUGUAUUUUAGUUUUUCUCAUUGUUUGAGAGUACUUCAGUUUCUUUUUAACACGAGAGAGAUUUUAUUACUUCAGUUUCUUUUUAACACGAGAGAGAUUUCAUUAUUGUUAGAUCUCUAA